CGCUGGCGGCAUCCUUAACAUGCAAGUCGAACGGCAGCACGGACUUCGGUCUGGUGGCGAGUGGCGAACGGGUGAGUAAUACAUCGGAACGUGUCCUGGAGUGGGGGAUAGCCCGGCGAAAGCCGGAUUAAUACCGCAUACGCUCUGUGGAGGAAAGGGGGGGAUCGCAAGACCUCUCGCUCAAGGGGCGGCCGAUGGCAGAUUAGCUAGUUGGUGGGGUAAAGGCCUACCAAGGCGACGAUCUGUAGCUGGUCUGAGAGGGCGACCAGCCACACUGGGACUGAGACACGGCCCAGACUCCUACGGGAGGCAGCAGUGGGGAAUUUUGGACAAUGGGCGCAAGCCUGAUCCAGCAAUGCCGCGUGUGUGAAGAAGGCCUUCGGGUUGUAAAGCACUUUUGUCCGGAAAGAAAACUUCUGCCCUAAUACGGCGGGAGGAUGACGGUACCGGAAGAAUAAGCACCGGCUAACUACGUGCCAGCAGCCGCGGUAAUACGUAGGGUGCAAGCGUUAAUCGGAAUUACUGGGCGUAAAGCGUG
rnacentral:rRNA from 1 species